rnacentral:rRNA from 1 species
CAGCCGCCACGGGAAUACGUAGGGUGCGAGCGUUAAUCGGAAUUACUGGGCGUAAAGCGUGCGCAGGCGGUUAUAUAAGACAGAUGUGAAAUCCCAGGGCUCAACCUGGGACCUGCAUUUGUGACUGUAUAGCUAGAGUACGGUAGAGGGGGAUGGAAUUCCGCGUGUAGCAGUGAAAUGCGUAGAUAUGCGGAGGAACACCGAUGGCGAAGGCAACCCCCUGGACCUGUACUGACGCUCAUGCACGAAAGCGUGGGGAGCAAACAGGAUUAGAUACCCCAGUAGUCCCUGUCUCUUAUAC